GGCACUGUACAGGGAAAGAUCAGAGAGGUCCCAGGGAGAGGUUAAGUCAUAGCUCGGUGGUGAGUGACAGGCCUUUCCCACCUCCUCGCACAGUGGCUCUGGGGACGUUUCCAGGACGCUCAGGGCGCGUCUGUUCCAGCUCCACAGCCCGGGGACCGGGAACCUGGACGGCCUUGUCUUCCCGAGGAUUCGGCCCCACUGCAGCCGUGGGGAGGCUGCCCCAGACACUGAGCCCUGACGGCUGGACCGAGCGAGGGUGGGCCCAGGGUUCUCCUCGGGCUGCCCUGAGCGUCCCAGUCCUCCGGUUGGGGGGUCAAGCCCGCUGCCCAGUCGUGGCCGAAACUGCUCUGGCAGCCUCUUCCCGGGGCAGACAGAGGACCCUCCUGGAAAGGGCUGACCCCCCAACUCCAGCACUAAUCCCGGAUUCCCACCUUUUCUGAUGCCGCUUCCUCUCAUCUCAAGGAUGCUCGGCGACCCCCUGCCCCACCCCGGGCCUGGGUCAUCACAGGCCCUCGCUUGUGUGGAGAGCGGGGUCCUGGGCAGUGGCGGGAUGGAGGGGGCGGGCAUGAGGGGAUGUGGGGUCGCUCCUCCUGGAGGACUCGGAUUGGUGGAGUAGCUCCUGUCCUGGCCACUUCCCCCAGGGAAGCUCACCACCAAAGUUCCCCAGGGGCACGGCCACAACCAUUUCCUCUCUGUGAGUCCCAGAGAGGGGAAGGAGGCUCCUCAUGCCGCGGACAAAGGCCUCCCUGCCCUCAGAGGUAGGCUACCCUGAUCCUCGGGCCCCAGAUCUGGGGUUGCCAUUUCCAGCUCUUCAAAUCUGUCUGUUGCUGAUUUGCUGUGAGACCUUGGGCAAGUCACUUCCCCUCUCUGGGCCUCAGAGUGUCACGGAUAGAAUGAAUGAUCCAAUUUGCCCACCCACUCGGACAUUCCAAAAUGGUGAAACAUUCAGAGCCAUGUGGUUUUGCAUAAUCAGAGCUGCAUUCCUUUAAUUUGACAAAAAUGCAAAUGAUCCUGAUAGAUGACUCAGUAGUCCUCAACCCCAGGCCUGUAAGCCCACAUCACAUUGGGUGGGGAGGGAGGACCCACCCAGACCCACAGAAUCAGUCUCUCUGGGCCUCAGGGUGGGCAGGACCUGCAGAUUUGCAUUUAUAAGAGCCUGCCGGGGACAGGAGUUCAGACUGCAGAGGGCGGAGGGGAGGGAGAGCAGAGUCUUCCCACCCCGACGCCUGACAAAAUGAGUAACAGUGACAAAUGGCUUAUGAAAAGAAGGAGCCAACCGACCAGGAAGACAGUCUCCCCAGCAAUGGCCUCCUGGGCCCUCCGUCCUCACACAUCCGGGGCUGCACUAGGCAUGGGAGCAGGACACACACCUGGCUGGACAGCAGGGCCCGGACAGCAGGCUGGGGACAGGGCGGCAGGAAAGGGAAGAUCCCCUGGCACCUUGGAGCUGCCGAGACGCAGGCCGAAAACAGCACAACCCUGAGAAGGGUCCUGAGGGGAAGGCAGAGCGGUGCCCGUGUUAGGAGUCAAACGUCUGCAGGAGUCGCUCCAGCGGACUGCGCAAGAUGAAAAGGACUUGCAAGGCUGCCUUGCGACCGCCAGGAAGGGGAAGGAAGUCACAUGAGGGCACAGCUGAAAGGGAAGAGGAUCUGAGGAUGGAAGUGGCUUCCUUGAAACGGAUAGCUGCAGGCCAGGGGAAAGUUAAUGAGAACAUGAAUCAGCUUGAAAGAGAGCACAGAGGCGAGAUGAUUAAAAUAACAUCAGGAGGGGCAAAGAGCAUGCAGAGGGGAAGACGCACGCUGAGGACCCAGACAGGACCACUGCACUUCUGUGAACUGAGUUGCACACGUCUGAAGAGCGGAUUAAGAGCACGGAGAGAAACUCGAAAUAAUCACAAUGAAUUCAGAGAAAAAGGACAAAGUAACUCAAACAAUUAGAGAAAAGAUGAUCAUUCUGGAACCUAGACCUCCUGUAAGAGGAACCGGGGUCUCUGAAGUUGAUUAUCCAACAGCUAAUGCAGAAAAAAUAUUUGGAGAAGCUCUCCCCAAAAGGGAGGAAGAAGCAGCCAGCUGUACUCGUGAGAGGACCCAGGGGGGUUCCCGAGAUCAGCGUCAGGACAUGCUGAAUCCAGCUGAGUUACUGAACUUUGAAGGACAAACAAGACGCUUCUUCAGACACCCAGGGGGAAAAAGCAAGUCACCAAGAGGAGAAAAAAAAUCAGUCUGGCCUCAAAUUUUUCCGCGGCAACAUUCAAUACCAGAAGGAAAGGAAACCGAGUUGGGUGGAAAAGGGGAAACCAAGAACAUGACACCCGGUGAGGGAGUUCAGAUUUACAGACAACAUGGAAAGAGGCAGGGGAAUAGCACCCUCAGCCUUUUUUGAAAAAGAAAAUUACUCAGCAAUGAAACUAGCUAACCAUUGAAAGGGGCAAUGUUUUUUAAGGUAAAAUCAUGACUCUCGUACAAUAGAAAAUGAACACAUGUCAAAAACUUGGUUUAACUGAUUAAAUAAUUAGAGAACAAGAAAUAGGUUCCAAGUGGUUCCAGGGGAAAUUGGAACAACACACACGUAUAGACAGAUAAGGAAUGUGAGAUGAACUUACAUAUGCAUGCAAAGCCGAUCAAUACCCACAGGGCGAAGAUCAAUUGCGGUCCACUGGAUGCAAUUCAUUUGCAUUUCCAUGCAUAAGAAUCAUUUGCACUGCUGUCAUUUUUCUACAACUUAGAUUUGUGCAAAGGUGAUGAAAGGCACAGGUUCCUUAAUACAGGACACCAGUAGUCUUUUUGGCUUUUUUGGUCCAUUUCAAAAUCUUUCACAGUUUUUCCUGCUACAACCAAGAGAUGACUCCAAGUGCAAAACUCAGGGACAAAAUGUGCUUUAAAAAUGGAAUGGAAUCUGUUUGAAUACAAGACUAAAAUGAAAUACUGGGAGAAUUAUGGUUGUAGAACAGAUUGUAAGUAUUAUAAACCUUGACACAGUGAAAACAUCAGAAUCAAAAUCGGGAGCUGGGGGGCUGGCCCAGUGGUGUGGUGAUUAAGUUCACGCGCCCGAUCUGGUGGCCCAGAAUUUGCAGAUUCAGAUCCUGGGCACAGACCUACAUCCCGCACAUCAAGCCAUCCUGUGGCGGCAUCCCACAUCCAAAAAAAUAGAGGAAGACUGGCACAGAUGUUAGCUCAGGGCCAAUCUUCCUCAGGAAAAAAAAAAAAAAAUCAGGAGCUGGAGGCAGGGAGAGGUUGUGUAAGGGAACUGAUCACCUUUCUCAUUCCAAGAAAUGACGGAGCCUGCCCAAAAUGAAACAUUGAUUCUUUUUCUCCAGGACUCCAAUCUUUAAUGAGUUUCAUAAUCUUUUUUCUUAACGUUAGAGAAAUUCGCUAUGAACUAAUAUCUCUGUGGAAAGUAAAGAUUUAUCUAAGACUUUCUGUGGAACUCAAGAAAAACUAAAUACUUUUAGUUUAAAAUAUAGCAGGUGUGGUACAAUCCCAUUUUUGAAAAUGAUUUGGACCUUUUGACCUUUCUGUCUCCCUUUGCCUCUUUCUCUCCAAGGGCCUCUGUGUGCAGAGGCCAUUCACCAAAUGUUACCACUCGCCAGUAGGCUGCAUUAAGCGUCUUCACCUCUGUACCAGAAGUUCUUUGCACACAUCUAGCGGCAUUCUUCUGAACAGCCGGAGUGCGGAACCACUUCAUUUUAAGCUGUGUGAGUCAUUGACACUUUAGUGUAAAUAAGGUUUUCAUGAAGACAGUGUGAAGACCUGGAGUUUCUGCAGGUCCCGACCUGGGCAGCUGAAUCCUGGGAAGAGCUGAAGAGGGCAGCUGGUCCCGAGGUCCUCAGCCCCUCUUGGCUGAAAGAACCGUUGAGCUUGUCAAGCAAGCCCCUCUUCCCACAGGUCCCUGUCCUGGAAUUCUAAGCCUGUGAGACAGAUGCCUAUUCUAGCUGGUACUGGACCCAGAAGCUGGGAGCCUGGCCCAGCCUUGAUAAGUGUCUGGGACAGGGUUCUCCUCCCUGCAGCAUUGUGGGGGCUCCUGAGCUCCGUCUGACCCCACUGCCCUCAUAUCCAAUGCCCACCUCUUGAUCAGAGCCCUGACUCCUGCCCUCCUCCAUUUGCACCCUUGCUCUAGCCACAUUGGCCUAACUUCCCCUUUCCCACACCACGGGGCCUUUGCACAUGCUUUAUCCUCCACGAGAAUCCCUUCCCACCCACCUUCCCUCACCCCCAGAUCUCCAGGCUCCUCCUCUGGAAGCCGUCCCUGACAUACCUCCCGACCCCAGAGGUCAGGCCUCUGCCCCCACUGUGAGCCCCCCAUGGGCCAGCCUGGCUCUGCUCAUCCCUGUGGUCCAGUGCCCAGCCAGGGCCUGGCGUUGGGGAGGCAGAAAGGCAAGUGGAUGACUGGGCCUUGACCUCAUCACCAGCUGGUGACCUCAGCCAGAUCCCUUGUUCUCACUGACUGUUUCCUCAUCUGAAAAAUAGAGACAGGGGAAGUCCUCCUCAUGGAGGCCUCAAGAGGAAUAAAGAAGAUAAUGCGUAUUUUUAUUUUAAGGUUUGUUAAACGCAUGACUAUGAGAUGUGAGCUUAAAGGAGGAGGGAGGAAGUGAAAGGAGGAACCAGCCCCGCCUCCAGUCUGCACCCCCUGGUUCCCACCCGGUAGCACCUCCGUCCCACCCACCUUCGCUGAACACCUACCCUGUGUCCCAGGUGCCAGGGGAUGCUGUGAGACUCCCACAACCACCCUGAGGCCGGAUGAGGAAGAGGAGGCAGAGGAAGGCAGAACGCCUAGGAGAUCCUCUCCGCUUGACCGCCACUAGGCAUCCCACGUCAGCCCACUUCUCUGCCACCUCCCGGGGCCAAGCUGCUCACCUCUUGCUUGCACAGAGCAGCGGCCACCAACUGGACUCCCGACCCUUUGACCUUGGUCUCUAAAAUCCAUUCUCCGACUCAUCAGAGUGACCUUGUCCCAGCAUCGUUCUGACUACACCAUUUCCUGUCUCCAAUCCUCCAUUGGGUCCUACCAAACGGCGAUACAGAUAAGCUCCAAGAAAAAAAACGACUUGCCACGUUGGCGACCAAGCUGAGAUGGUCACUGGGCCUGACCUGCAAUUCUGCGCCCUUUCUAUUGUCCCCUGUGCUCUGUUGCAUGCUCCCUGCCCGAUGGCCCCUCCUCACAAAGGCCUGGACUGGUGCAGCAGCCUCCUCGUCGGCCUCCUGGCCUCUCGUCCUCCACUCUGCCCACGACCUGAGAGACUUUCUUAGGCAGACCUGUCGUCACGCAGCUCCCCGACUCAAAAGCAUCCCGCAGCUCCCCACAGCGCCCGAGUCUAAGUCCAGCCUCAUAGUGGGCUCCCAUUUGAGGGAUAAAACAGGUCCUGGCCUCACAGAUUCUGUGGGCCAAGAAUUUGGACAGGGCGCAGAGGAGACGGCUUGUGUCUGCUUCACCACAUCUGGGGCCUCAGCUGGAAGACUCGCAAGCUAGGGGCUGGAAUCUUUGAAGGCCCCUUUGCUCACAUCCCUUCACUCUUGUAGAUUCCCAAAAGAGAGGAGAAUUUAGAAGACUCCUGGAAUUCAUGGCCGCUGAAGCACAUCCUCCUGAAUUUAAAUUACAUAAGGAAACCGGCGACUGAAUGUGGUGAAAAGGAUAUUCUCAAAAGUUAUUGUUGACAACAAAGAUUUAUCCAGAGACACAGCUGAUCUGGUUCUCUGAAUAGGAUGGUUGAUGCUGGUGGAUUGAUCAGCAGAGAUCUUAGCUGGGCAUUGGCUGGAACAUCUCCAUGUGGCCCUGCCCUGUGUCCUGGGCUUCCUCACAGCGUGGUGGAUGGGUUCAGAGUCAAGAGGGAGGCCGAAGCCUUAUACCUUUUAUGACCUAGUCUUGAAGCCCCACAGCAUCACUUCUACCACAUUUUACUCAUCAAGGCAGCCGCUCACCUUCAAGGAGAGAGGAAAUGGACCCCACCUGCUGUGGGGGAGCAGCAAAGUUUUAGAAGACCAUGUGGGACUGGAAAUUUUCUGUGGCCACUUUUAAACAGAUAGACAUAGGAAAACAUUAGUAUUCAGAGCUGGGAUGAGUCGGGGAGGCAUCACGCAGGCCCUGAAGGGGAGCCUGUCAGGCCGUGGGCAGAGCAGAGGGGAGGCAGGGAGGCCAGUGAGGAGGCAACCGCACUAGUCCGGGUCUUUGUGAGGAGGGGCCGUCGGGCAGGGAGCAUGCAACAGAGGAGAAGAGACAAUAGAAAGGGCACAGAAUUGCAGGUGAGGCUCAGUGAUCGUCUCAGCAUGGUCACCAACGUGGUAAGUCGUUUUCCUCCUUGGAGCUUCUCUGUGUCACCUGUAAAAUGAGUCACACACACAAACGGAAGAGGUUUCUUAUUCACAGUGUGGACCCUUUGAGAAAUUGGUGAAAGGAAUGAAUCCUCCACGCAGGGGAAGGAAGACGAACUCGGGCACAUACGUAAAACCGGGCCGAAAGUUCCGGGGGUGCCCAGGACCAGCCUGGCUUGGUGGUGAAGGUUGGGGCUCUGGACCCGGAAUGUCUGGGUGUGAAUCCUGCCUCCACUCCUUACCAGGGAAGAGACCUUGGGUGAGGGACUCAACCUGUCCGUGCCUCUGUUUCCCCACCUGUAGCAGUUAGGGCUGCAUUUGGCUGCAGGUAACUGAGGACCUCAAUAUUCAGUGCCUUCGGCAAAAUGGCAGCUCGGUUUCUUUCUUGUGGAAAAGCCCAUAUGUGUGUGGUUGCUGAUGCUGGUUCAGGAGCUGGGUCCCUUCUCUUAGAAAAACCUCUUCACCCGGAGGACCUCCCUUAAUCUCAUUGCCCACAGUGGAGUCAUGGGACUAGGCCCCUGCGGGCAAGGAUGAGGAAUGGAGCUGUAGCUCAGUGGUUCUCAACCAGAGCCAGCAUCGCAGCUCCACGGGACACUCGGAGAUGUGCGAGGACAUUUCAGGACAUCACAAUGAUGGGGCAUGCAGUGGGAGGGGCCACUCCAGUGCACGCAACAGCUUUCCAUGGAGAAUUGUCCCCCAAAAAAGGCCAAGCGUGUCCUCCAUUGAAAAACUCCGAAGCUGUCCUGGUCCCUACAGUGGAGGCAAGGAAGAAGGAAGGGCUGCAUGUGGUCCGGUCAGCCAGCCCGUGGCACGUGCCGCCACCACAUCCUGGGCUGCUGCGAGGAGUAUGGGGAAGUGCUCAGGUCAAUGCACAAGCAAAUGUUGGGGUCCCCUAAGGGUCAAGAGACUGCACGUGAGGCACACGUGGGAGCCCUACCAGAUCUUGUGGCCGAGGUCUGAGAGGAGACACUGCAAAGAACCAACCACAGGACCAGGGAAUGGACGCAGGCGGGGACACAGACCGUCUCUGCCUGUGCUGAUUUCCCUCGGAGCUUCUUGCCUUUCUCUGAAACUUGCCCGCCCUGGGGGCUUCCCGGGUGUCCCGCCACAUCCCGCCAUAACGGCCACAUCCCGCCUUCAGUCCCCAAAGGGACCCUGACUCAGCAGCAGACGCAGCAGGGCAGGUCAAAGGAAGUGGGGGAAACGUCACUGUUGCUUGUCACCACCACGUCCGUCUGCCUGGCCCAGUUCCCGGCAGGCAGGGAGUCGGCCCCCGGUGGGCGUGGACCAAAGCCACUGUUCCACCAGUGGGCCAGCAAGAUGGCCAGCAGGACCUCUGCUGCCUUCAGGACUCGGGGACAGGAGAGGUCUGCGUCUGACCCCCAGGCAAGAGGGAGGAGGUGUCCCCCCAGCCUGAGGAUCCGAGAAUCAGAUCUCAUCGUUCCCAAGGGGUGGACCUGGCCCCACCCUAGCCUUGGGGUCCACACCCACUGGGGAGCAAGUGAGGAAGCCUGCCCUCUGCUCGCAGCUGGAGCCCAGACUAUGGGCUUCGCGCGCAUUGUUGAAAGACAACGGUUUCUGCUCGUGCUAUUCCAAUGUUAAAAGUAAAUUGGGUUCACACUGGAAAAGUUUGAAAGGCACAGAGAAGAAAAUAAAAAUCCAUCCCCAGGCCCAUCGUCUGGGACAACCACUCUC